rnacentral:rRNA from 1 species
CCUACGGGUGGCAGCAGUCGAGAAUCAUUCACAAUGGGGGAAACCCUGAUGGUGCGACGCCGCGUGGGGGAAUGAAGGUCUUCGGAUUGUAAACCCCUGUCAUGUGGGAGCAAAUUAAAAAGAUAGUACCACAAGAGGAAGAGACGGCUAACUCUGUGCCAGCAGCCGCGGUAAUACAGAGGUCUCAAGCGUUGUUCGGAAUCACUGGGCGUAAGGCGUGCGUAGGCUGUUUCGUAAGUCGUGUGUGAAAGGCGCGGGCUCAACCCGCGGACGGCACAUGAUACUGCGAGACUAGAGUAAUGGAGGGGGAACCGGAAUUCUCGGUGUAGCAGUGAAAUGCGUAGAUAUCGAGAGGAACACUCGUGGCGAAGGCGGGUUCCUGGACAUUAAUUGACGCUGAGGCACGAAGGCCAGGGGAGCGAAAGGGAUUAGAUACCCCAGUAGUC